AAUAAUUGUUGAGAGGCAGUGCCACUGCCCGCUACCCUGGUUCUUCAGCUUGCGCGGUGGGUGAAACCCGGGAGCUCCUGUGUCCGAGGUCACUGGCAGUUCCUUCUGAUGAGAGAACAAGCCGACCUCUGUUUUACAUAUGACAUCAGGUUCCAGGCAGAAUGAAGAUGUCAGGUGGUCUGAACGACUCAAGUCCUUCCAAGGCAGCAGAUGUUACUGGUGCCUACCAAACACCAGGCACUGGGAAUGUAGCAGUGAAUGGCCUAGAUCUGAGCCCAGCUGUCGUGGCACUUAUAUUCCAGCAGAGGGGAGACAAAAGAAGAAAGGAGCAGUCUGAGCAGAGUGUCCCAAGUCCACAGUGAGCUUACAGUGACACGUUGAGCCUGAGGCUGCACAAACUGCAUCCCAUGUUUAGAGAAACGUCAAAGGAAGGUUCCAGUUCUUGCCAGCACCCGGGCAGAGCAGCUCACUUACUGUGCAGGCAUGAGUGUCCCCGGAGCCUCAGGCAUUUGCCACUGUAGGUACAGACAGGGAUAUGCCCCAGUGAAGAUGGAAAAGAAUGUGGAAAACAGGCUGCUUCUGGUGCCAUGAACUUCCGGCCACUGGAAGAAUGGUUAACCAGUGUGCAGGGAAGAAGGGAAGUUAAGCAAAACAAGUAAGCUUUGUCUGGCCUGCUUGGUUUGCCAUUCAGAGUUUCCCAUCUUGACAAUGCCCAGGUGAAGCAGACUCCCAGCUCCUGCUUUCUCCCCGUUUUAUUCCCAGUUUGCACUAACUUGCUAGUGACAGAGUGUAGAAGGGUUCCUGACCAAUUCAGACUGAAUUGGGCUGAACUUCCACUGCCUCUUGCUAAUCUCUUAAAAUAUACAUAUUUUUAUAAUCCAUGCAUUUGCCUCGCCCUUCUCCAAAUUAUUUUCAUUGGUGGAGAAACAGACUUUGUGCACCUUCUUAAACUGCAAAUCCUUGUCCUCUACUCCCUUCCAUUCUACUGCUCCCCUAGUUCAUACAGGAAAUUGAGCCUUCUCUCCCUUCGAGCCUAAACCAAGCUUCCUCAGCAGAGAAAGAACCCCCAGCGUGUCCUCUGUCCCUCCUGCGCUUUCCUCACUACCUGUCUCUUUUCUCCCCUUGCCUGCAAAUGUUUCUCCCAUUUUAAAGCCUCACUGAAGUCUGCAAUGCCCCCAAUCUACUUCUUUUCCUUCCUUUCAUUCCAUGUUUUUUUCCCCCUUUUUUAUGAUUGGGAAAAAAUCAAAAGAAAUAUACUUAUUAAUAGGCAAGAGUUAUGUGAAACUCAAAUUUCAGUGUCUAUAAAUAAAGUUUUAUUGGGACACAGUCACAUUCAUUCAUUUACGUAUCAUCUGUGGCUGCUUUUGCACUACAGUGGCAGAGUGGAGUUGUUGCGACAGUGACCAUAUGGCUUACAAAGCUGAAAAUAUUUAUUAUCUAGCUGUUUACAGGAAAAAGUUACAGACACUGCCUGAAAUUACAAGGGGCAAGUUACCGGGCCUAUUUGCAUACAAGUUUACAUGCAACCAUGUAAAGAGUAAUUUGCAGAGGGUUGAUUAAUAUGUUAGAACCACUAUCAAACGAGGAUCAACCUUCAAUUAAAAACGUGUGCAUCUGAAACCUUAAAAUUAAUGAUAAAAUACCAUCCCAUUUGGAAAAAUUCACAUUAGAGCAACACAUCCAGGGAAUAAAAAUGCCUUCAUUGGUACUAGAGUUUAUACAUUUAAAUGAUAGCCAUUGCUUUCUUAAAUCAAAUACUUACUCAUUAUUGUGU